rnacentral:rRNA from 1 species
AACUUACCAGGUCAAGACAUGGGCGUGAUUGACAGGCUAAUGACUUUUCUCGAUUCCAUGGAUGGUGGUGCAUGGUCGCACUUAGUUGGUGCAGUGAUUUGUCAGGUUUAUUCCGGUAACGAACGAGACCUCGGCCUUGUAAAUAGCUAUGCUGCUUACAGGGACAUUGGCGGCUACGCCAAGGAAGCUCGAGGCAAUUGCAGAUCUGGAAUGCCCUUAGAUGUCCUGGGUCGCACGCGUGCUACAAUGACGCCACGAACGAGCUUGCGUGAUGAAAGUUACGCAUAAUCAGCAGUCGGCGUCUUAAGGGAUAGUCUCUUGUAACUGUGGGACUCCAACUAGGAAUGUCUCGUAAGCACAAGUCAACAUCUUGUGUUGAUUACGUCCCUGCUCUUUGUACACACCGCCCGUCGCUCCUACCGAUCGAGUGUUUAGGUGAAUUUGAUGGACGUAAGGAAGUCAAAUAAACCUGAGCACUAGAGAAGAGAAGUCGAGAUGCC